ensembl:lncRNA PRR7-AS1 PRR7 antisense RNA 1
AGAGGAGCUCCCCUGGCGGACCAGGCACCUCCAUGUGGCGCGUGCCUCCCUGCCGGCCAACCUGCAUGCUACUCAGUACAGUUGGGGCAUUGUGCUCAGACAAGAAAGGGGCACUUGUGAUCCAGACAAUGGGCUGGGUCGCUCCCAUUUGGCCUGGGCUUCAGCUUCCCUGGGUCAGCAAUAUCCUUUCCUCUGCUCCUGCCCACUCUGCUUCCACCCCUCCCUGGAGAAUGGUGGCUAGGAACACGGAGCAGAGACUCACCGCGGGCCCAUGCCCGGUUUGGCACGUGCCUCGGCCGUGAGGAGGAGGAGGGAUGCAAGCUUCGCUCCUCUACCCUGGUGCCCAGCAGGCGUACACCACCACAUGCCUACUAGGAAGCCACGGGGAGGAGGACCUAGUGCCGAACCCACAGCCCUGGCCUCCGUGGACAUGCCUCCCCCCUACCCCAGCAGGGAACAGAUGACCCCUAGAGAGCGCCCCACUGUCUACCCCGAGGUCCAAGCUUGCAGAGGCCACUCUGAAGUUGGCUGUCCAUCGGCCUCUUAACUGGGCUGUUUUUCGUCCAACUUCUCUACUGCACUUAAGAUGAUUUGCCAAAAACCCCUCCACCACCAUAUUAGCUGGAACAUUUGGGGUUGAAGUGACAGAACUCCCAAACAAAUAGGUUUGAGCUGUACCCCGUCUCUACCAAAAAAAAAAAAAAAUCUGCACGCCUGUGGAGAAUCGCUUGAAUCCGGGAGGCAGAGGUUGCAGUGAGCCGAGAUCACGCCACCGCACUCCAGCCUAAGGGAGGGGGUGAGACCCUGUCUCAAAAAAAAAAAGAGAAAGAAGAAAGAGAAAGGACAGAAAGAAAGAAAAAUAAAAGAGAAAGAAAGAAGAAAGGAAAGAAAGAAAAGAAAGAAAAAGAGAAAGAAAAGAAAAAGCUUUGAGCUCAAAGGGGACUGGUUCAUGCAACUGGCAAGUCCCAGGGUAGAUUCUAGCUUUGGUCACAGUUGCUUCCAGGUGUUCCCGCAAUGGUGUCAGGCACGUAUCUGCUUCUGUUUGCAUCACUCUCAGGCAAGCUCACCCCAAGAAGUAGCGAGGACAACCCCAACAGCCCUAGGCUCAUAUCCUGCCAUCUAUCCCUGGAGGAAAACGGAACCCCAAUUCCUUCCCCAUCAUUUGAGCAAAAUACAAGCAAACAACUCCA